rnacentral:tRNA from 1 species
AUUAAUUUGGUGUAAGUAGUUAGCAUAUUAAUUUUUCGUAUUAGGGGUAGUUAUAUAACUAAUUAAUU